rnacentral:tRNA from 1 species
GCGUUGAUGGUGCAGUGGUCAGCACACUCGGCGCAUAUUCGAGAGGUCCGUGGUUCGAGUCCCGGCAAGGGCA